AUUAUACUCCCUCCGUCCUAAAAUGCUUGUCUUGGAUUUGUCUAGAUAUGAAUGUAUCUAGUCACAUUUUAAUAUUUAGAUACAACUAUUUUAUACAAAACUAAGACAAGAAUUUUGAGACGGAGGGAGUAUAUA
rfam:Hordeum vulgare subsp. vulgare, WGS project CAJW01000000 data, contig: morex_contig_2550161